AGAAAAUGCAUUGGAAUAUAGACAUUCCAUCAGUCAACCAUUCUCCGGCUUGUGGAGCAACAUUGUGUAAUGGUUCCUUUUGCAGAAGGAAACCUUCGGAAGGUAAUAAAAGAUGUUGGCAGCACAAAGGUAUGAGGGUUAAAGAGCCCAUUUCUAAGCAAUUAGAAGCAGAAAUACCAAGUGUAUUUGCAGGUCCAGCUACCAAAAUUAGCAGUGAGAAAAUGCAUUGGAAUAUAGACAUUCCAUCAGUCAACCAUUCUCCAGCUUGUGGAGCAACAUUGCGUAAUGGUUCCUUUUGCAGAAGGAAACCUUCGAAAGGUAAUAAAAGAUGUUGGCAGCACAAAGGCAUGAAGAGUUGAAAUAGGACCUCCACGACCUGCAUAAUGUAGUUUCAUAAGAGAAUUAUUAAUCAAGUUGUGGUGCACCCUUACGCAGUGGUGUUGGGAUUAUCCUUUUAUUUAAGAAUUAUUUAUUUACUGUAUGUUUGGUCUUUUAUUUAGUUGAAUUGGUCAGCUCCUAGUUAUUAGGAAGUGGACGAGUGGUUUUAGUUGACAUAGUGGAGUCUGUUAGGAGUCCUAGUUAAUGUUUGUUUAGUCGUGGGUUUGUGGGUUUCAUGCGCAGUCAUGAAGGCUCUGUAAAGGCCUACAUAAUGGCUUCUUCUGUUGCAAAUAAAGGUGUGAGUUUGCAGUAUUAAAGAUCCCAUCU
rnacentral:lncRNA from 1 species